rnacentral:tRNA from 1 species
GUUUCCGUGGUGUAGUGGUCAUCACGUGCGCCUCACACGCGCAAGGUCCCCGGUUCGAUCCCGGGCGGAAACA